AUACCGUCCGUUUGUUACUAAAAUGUACUUGUCUCCCGCCACAAUGUCAGAGACUCUCUCUCUCUCUUCCCUGUGAUCUCUGUGACUCUCUCUCUCUCUCUCUCUCAAAGCUCACUCACAAUGUCAGACUCAGAGACCCCAUUCAGGAAAGGUGACCAAGUGGAAGUGACAAAGCCACACCACCAUUCCUACGCCACCACCACCAGCGUCGCCACCAAUGGACCCUACUACCCCGCCAUCGUGCUCCGCUCACAUCCCACCAAAGACCACCACCUCUUGAUUCAGUACCAAACCCUUAAGUCAUUGCACAGUGGGCCUUACGGCCCGCAACUCCUCACCGAGUACGUCCAUUGGGCCCGGGUCAGGCCCAUUCCGCCCAACGACCCCCACCAGGGCCUCAAAGUCGGUGACUCCGUCGACGCCUUUCGAGGAUGUUCGUGGGUUAAAGGCACGGUUAUGGACAUUUAUGAAAACUCCAAGUACUUGGUGCUUUUCGACGAGGAAGAACAAGAGCUCGAGAUUGAGCAGUGGAAUUUGCGGCUUCAUAGGAACUGGGUUCGUGGCUCAUGGGACGCACCUCUUCUAGAACAGCUUGAAGUGCAGGAAAAGCCAUCUGAAACGGAGGUGGAGUCUAGAAAUUGUAGAAUAAUGAUAACAUACAGCAGGAGAAAAUCAAAGGAAAAGUUUAGAAAGGGAACCAUGGUGGAGGUCAGCAGCGAUGAGGAAGGUUACAAGGGUUCUUGGUUCACUGCUACUGUUAUUCAGUCUACAGGAAGUGACAAGUUUCUGUUGGAAUACCAUAACCUGACCAUGGAUGAUGGAACCCAGCCUUUGAGAGAAGAAGUACAUGCACAGUAUAUUAGGCCUUUUCCCCCUGAAGUUCCUGGAGUUGUGUCUUUUAAGGAGCUCCAAGAAGUCGAUGCAUGGUACAACGAAGGGUGGUGGGAAGGUGUGAUUUCCAAAGUUCUAAAUUUCUCAGAGUAUAUCGUCUAUUUCAGCUAUUCCAAUGAGGAAUUAAGAUUUGGACAUUCUAAGUUGAGGCCACAUCAACAUUGGAUUAAUGGAAAAUGGGUCAUUGCUUCCAAGCUUGAAGUGCAGGAAAAGCCAUCUGAAAUGGAGAUGGAGUCUAGAGAUUUAAGAAUAAAGAUAACAUACAGCAGCAAAAAAUCAACAGAAAAGUUCAGAAAGGGAACAUUAGUGGAGGUCAGUAGUGAUGAGGAAGGUUAUAAGGGUUCUUGGUUCACUGCUACUGUCAUUGGGUCUACAGGAUCUGACAGGUUUCUGGUGGAAUACCAUAACCUGACAAUGGAUGAUGGAAUCCAGCCUUUCAGAGAAGAAGCACAUGCACGGCAUAUUAGGCCUUUCCCCCCUAAAGUUUCUGGAAUUGUGCAUUUUAAAAAGCUCCAAGAAGUCGAUGCUUGGUACAAUGAUGGGUGGUGGGAGGGUGUGAUUUCCAAAGUUAUAAAUUUCUCAGAGUAUAUUGUCUAUUUCAGCUCUACCAAUGAGGAAUUAAGAUUUGAACAUUCUAAGUUGAGGCCUCAUCAGCAUUGGAUUAAUGGAACAUGGCUCAUUGCUUCCAAGGGAAAGUCUUGUGAGCUGGCAAUGGCAUAUAGGGAUGUACAAGUGAGUAUGAAUGAUGCUGGAAACAAAUCGAAGGCAAAGUUCAACUUGGGAGCAAUGGUAGAGGUCAGAAGUGAUGAGGAAGGUUUUCGAGGUUCUUGGUACACUGCAAUCAUUGUUGAUUUGAUAGGGAAUGACAAGUUCUUGGUGGAAUAUCAGACACUGAGAACAGAGGAUGAAACUGAACUUCUUAGGGAAGAGGCAGAUGUGUCAGAUAUAAGGCCUUGUCCCCCUGAUAUUGAACAUCUUUACCGUUUUGCAGUGCAAGAGAAAGUUGAUGUUUGGUAUAAUGAGGGGUGGUGGGUAGGUUAUAUAUCCAAUGUUCUAGAUGACUUGAGGUACAGAGUGUAUUUUGAGACCACAAAUGAGGUGCUGGAAUUUGAACAUUCUGAUCUGAGGCCUCAUCAAGAAUGGGUCGAUGGAAACUGGGUAGCUGCUUCUAGGGUAGGACAUCAGUAAUGCUUAUAUGGUACUUUUAUUGAGGCAAUCUUUUUAUAUAGCUUCUUGUGUAAAUAUUUCUGAAUUUGCAAACAUAUUGUCCCUUUUUAUAAACUACAAAUGAUUUCUUCUACCCAUGAAAUCUCUCAACAGUCUGAAGCCCUGAAAUGUACAAACAAUAACCACUUUGAUUGGAAAUUCUGAUCAAAGAAUGAAUUGCUUUAGGUUCUUCAAGCCAAUCUGCUAUCUUAUUGUAAAGAAUGUCUUUGGCUACAUCAGAUCAACAUUUUGUGCGUCUAAAAAUUGAAGCAUUAAUGUGUUCAAGAAUGUUGCUAUCCUUUGCUGUGUGUAUAUAUUUUUUGUCAGAUCUGAGAGUUCUCUUGCCUUCUCCAACCAGAUUCCAGGUUCAAUGAACCUCCAACUUCUUUUGUAUGUAAGAGAUUCAUUUGAUAUGAUAUCUUGUAAAUAUUAAACAUAUUAGUAUCUUACUAAUUCCACAUAGCAUUUUCAAUAUGGAUAUAUCAUUUAAGCUUU